GACAGAGGUGCCAAGCGUUAGGCGGAAUCACUGGGCUUAAAGCGUGUAUAGGCGGAUGCCUAAGUACCUUGUGAAAUCCCACGGCUCAACCAUGGAACGGCUGGGCAUACUGCGGGUCUUGAGCUGUCUAGGGGCAACCGGAACAAACGGUGGAGCGGUGAAAUGCGUAGAUAUCGUUUGGAACGCCAAUGGUGAAAACAGGUUGCUGGGGACAUGCUGACGCUGAGACACGAAAGCCAGGGGAGCGAACGGG
rnacentral:rRNA from 1 species